GCGUUUGAGAACAGGACUUACGUUGUUGUGGUCUAGGUUUUAUCAAAGUAUUAAUAAACUAGGCUUGCGAAGACGCGAUCGGAUUAGUUGGCUUGUGCGACAUUAAGAUCCAACCCCUGCAUGGAGACGAGGGCAAGGUGGCUUGUGUGCUGCUAUUUCCUGAGCUGGGUGCUCCUCUGGCGGCCGAGUUCAGAGAUCAAAGUCAGGACCUUGUGCUUGCCAGGCAGGUGGCUGGCACCACUGAGCUAAACCUCCAACCCUUAAAUGUUUUUCAAUGAACAUGCUACUUUAAGUUACAAAAAAUGUUACCAAGAUACAUCAUGUAAAGGGUCUUGUUGUGAAUCCCAGGCUGGCCUUGAACUCACUAUGUAGCCCAGGCUGGUCUCCAACACCACCAUGCCCAGCAAAAGAAUUGACUUUAAAAUCACCAAGUAAAUCAAAUACCACCCAAGGCCCAGCUGGCUGGAUUUGCCUGGAGAAUCCUGUGUCCCUCCCUUGAGGGAAGGGAAGCACAAGGUAAAGCUAAAGAUGCUCCUGUUAUUCAAGCAGCAAACAUCUGGUGGUGGCCCCGGAUGAUCACAGACUGUACAAACGAGGAGGAUGAAUGCCCUCCACCCAGCUGGGUGACACUUGGUUGCCGGACCAGCUCUGGACAUCAAUAACUCCGCGCCCCAGCUUCACACAGAGGCAAUGACUCAGGAGUGGGGAGGCGUCCACUGGCCAGGCCAAGAGGGACCGAGGUCAGCUCAGAUGUGACUGAGACAGGGAGGAGGUGGAGUCCUAUUCAGUGUUGCACUCCGAUACUUUUCAGACAGGUGAGCUUUUUCAUCCUUUCUCCUAGAUCGGUGAUUGGCUAGGCAAACACCUGUAAUCCCAGCUGUCCGGGAGGCUGAGCCAGGAGGAUUGUAAAUUCCAUCCCAGCGUAUGCAAUCUAGAAAGACCCUGUUUCAAAAUAAAAAUUGCAGGGCCAGGAUUUAGCUCAGUGGUUUUGCCGCCUGCUGGGCAAGUGCAGGGACCCAAGUUUGAUCCGCAGUACCAAAAAAAUAAACAAAUGAAAAAAAACAAAAUAAAAAUUGCAGAGAAGGAUGGGGAUAUAGCUCUUCUUUAAAUGAAGAACACAGCAACCCACACACCUUGGACUCCUUAACAAUUCUUUUUAAAAAUUUUUGGUACUGCCACGCAAGCACAAGGUCCUGGGUUUGAUCCCCAGUACCAAAAAAAAAAAGAAAAACAUUUUGGCGCUGGGGAUCAAACCCAGGGCCCAGCACUUAGCUGGCUGCACAGCCUCCUUGUCAAAGCCUGCUCCUCACCUGGGGACUGGAAAGGCAGGUGACCGAUCUGCGAUUUGGGAAGAAUCCUAUUAGCCAGUUGUUUGUUAACUUGACCCUUAGGUAAUGAACGUCAGCUGAACCAGCUCUCGGCACACCACCCCCCAGGCAGAUGUCCAAAUUCCGCCACUUCCUGUCUGGAUGUCUUAGUCCCGCUCCUCAUCACGGGACACAAUACCCACAUCCACAGUUAAGGAGGAGGGGGUCUUUAGGCUCACAGUUGCAAUCUGAGGUUGGCUGGCUCUAGAUAGAAAUGGCAAGGGCGAAGGGAUGAGAACAGGAAGCAGAGAGUGAGGGAUAAACCCUUCCGGCCCAUAUCCCAGAGCCUCCUCUUCUGGCCAGAACCAGCCUCCGAAGAGCGGAGAACGGUAGCCCUCCCCCCAUGGUUAAUCACCUCCGAAAAGCCCCAUCUGUGAGCGUGUGAGGGUCUUGGGGGACUACAGACAUGCACCGGAACAGUGCCUUUGGGCAAGUUACUUGCCUCUCUCAGACUCAGUUCCCUCAUCUGUACAAUGGGUAUGACUAUUAGAGUCGGCCUCAAGGAGAUAAUUUACCCCUCUUUUUUUUUUUGGUACCGGGGAUCAAACUCAGGUCCUUGCACUUGCACAGCAGGCGGCGAACCACUGAGCCAAAUCCCUGGCCCCUCAAGGAGAUAAUCAAUAUAGAAUGUUAACAUGCUGUUAGAACUCAAGAAAUACUAGUUGUCUUUUUGUUUAUUGCUUCAUCCAUGUAGAGAUAAUUCCUCCACCAGACUCUAAAGUGUCCUCAGCCUUUUUUCCCCUCCUUAAGCAGGAGUCAGAGCUCGGGGCUUCUUAGAGUGGUGUUCAGAGGAUGUGAAUGAAUUAAGAUCCUCUCCUCAGCCAGGUGUAAUGGAGUGGACUCAUAACCUCAGCACUCUGGGAGGCUGAGGCAGGAGGAUUGCAAGUCCCAGCCCAGCCUGAGCAACUUAGCAACUUAACAAAGCCCUGUCUCAAAAUAUUAAAUUUUUUUUUAAAAGGCCAGAGAAUGUAGCUGAGUAUGAAGGUUCUGGGUUCAAUCCUCAGAGUCACCAAAACAAAACAAAAUAAAACCCUCUCCUUUUCUUCCUGUCUUCAGCUUCUGGAAGCACAGAUAUUCUCAUCAAUUGUAGCAACAACAGGGACCAGAUAUUGUCCUGCAGCUGGACAUUAUUAUUCACUCACAGCAAACUAUUCAAGUUAGGCAUCCAUAACUCAUUUAUUCAGUCUUUUUUGUUCAGUCAACAAACGUGUUGUGCUCAGUGCUUUGGUCUUCGGAAUAAAUUAAAAAAUAAAACAAAACAAAACAAAAUCCCUGCUUAGGUUCUAAUGUGCAGGAACAAUCAGCAGUAGGUGACAAGUACAGCACACCAGAGAGUGACUGGAGGAGCAAAAGGGAGAGAAAGCAGAGGGAGCAGGAGCAGCAAACUGCUGCUUUGAACAAAAUAGCGAAGGGAAGCUCAUUUCUGUGAGAAGGCAAGUUAGUCCGCUUUCUGCCACUAUCUUAUAUAACAGAGAUAAUUAACUUUUUUUUUUUUUUGGUACCUAGGAUCGAACUCAGGUCCUUGCUUUUGCGCAGCAGGCAGUGGAACCACUGAGCUAAAUCCCAGCCCCCUUUUUCUGGUUUUUUGAGACAGGGUCUCACUUUGUAGUUCAGGCUCCCCUCAAACUCAUGGCAAUCCUCCUGCUUCAGCCUCACGAGUGCUGAGAUUAUAUACAUGCGCCACCAUGCCCGGCUACUGAGUUUUUCUUGAAGUCAUUUCUAGAUUCACAUGCGGUUAUCGGAAAUGACAGAGAUAUCCCUUUACACUUUGCUCAGUCUCUCCAGUGGUAACAUUUUACCAAACUGUAAUAUAAUAGCACUGAGAUACUGACAUCCAUACAGCCCCCAUCUUAUUCAGAUUUCCCGAAUCUGUGUGCAUGUGUGAGGGUGUUAAGUUCCAUACACCGAAUCAUGGGAGUAGGUCUGCAUGUGCACCACCACAAGGAAGAUGAUGGGGGUCAGUUCCAACCCCAAGGAUUCACCAUGCUUCCUUGGUCCUCUCCCUCUAGAUUUACUUCUCUGUCGUUUCAAAAAGAUGUCAUUGGAAUCACACAAUAUGUAUCUUUUGGGCUUGGCCUUUUAUCUUCCCAUAAUUUUCUGGUCAUUCAUUCAAGUUGUUGCAUAGAUCAACUGUUUGUUUCUUUUUGUUGCUGAGUUAUGUUUCAUAGUAUCAAUAUACCAUCAUGUAUUUAAGGGUCAUUUUUUUUUUUUUGAGACAGGGUCUUGCUGUGUAGUUUAAGCUGGCCCUGAACUCACUAUG